UACGGAGGGGGCUAGCGUUGUUCGGAAUUACUGGGCGUAAAGCGUGCGCAGGCGGCUGCUCAAGUCAGGGGUGAAAGCCCAGAGCUCAACUCUGGAAUUGCCUUUGAGACUGAGUGGCUUGAGUACGGGAGAGGUGAGUGGAAUUCCCAGUGAUAGAGGUGAAAUUCGUAGAUAUUGGGAAGAACACCGGUGGCGAAGGCGGCUCACUGGCCCGUAACUGACGCUCAUGCACGACAGCGUGGGGAUCAAACAGG
rnacentral:rRNA from 1 species